rnacentral:lncRNA from 1 species
ACUGUGUUGACAGCCCUGGGCUGGAGGAAAGGCAGCAGUCUUCACAGAGCUCACUUUACGGCUGGGCUCACCCUUCACCCCAAGACAGCUUUGAUCACUGGGAAGUUUCCACAAACACAGAAUGAAUGAGGAAGAAGGUGAUUAUAUUUUCGGUGUGAUCCACGUGGACGAGAGGUGUUGCAUGUUUUUACAAAUUGAAGAUCUGUGACAACCCUGGGUCAAGCAAGUCUAUCAGUGCCAUUCUUCCAACACUCUCCUGGGUGCAGUCAAAGCUUCACUCCCUACACCCUACUGAACUAUCAGCUGACUGAUUCCCACUUGUCCAUGCCCCAGGACCCCACAGAAGCUCCACAUGCUUCCACAAGCUGAUGCACCAGUUCCAAGAGGAGGAAGAAAAGCUGGCACUCAGCCUUUAUUUCUCCCCAAACACCACAGUCAUUCAAUUCUGAAAAAAAAAAAAAAAAAAAAACCCAUUGCUUUGAAAAACAUAAAAUGAGAUCUAUCAAACAGCAUCUUGUAUUUUAAAGUGGAAAGAAUGGACUUUGGAAUCAUCUUUGGCAGCUAAUAGGCUGGGACACGCAGAGAAAGAGCUUGCCUGCCUCUGCAGACAUUCCUUGGACGAGUGGUUCUAAAUCCCAGCUACACACUCAAAUAGCUGCAGGAGGUUUAAAAACUGUCAAAUCUCCCAGCCCCUGCCCAGCC